rnacentral:rRNA from 1 species
AACGAACGCUGGCGGCAUGCCUAACACAUGCAAGUCGAACGAGGCCUUCGGUUCUAGUGGCGCACGGGUGCGUAACGCGUGGGAACCUGCCCUUAGCUUCGGAAUAACUCCCCGAAAGGGGUGCUAAUACCGGAUAAUGUCUUCGGGCCAAAGAUUUAUCGCCUUUGGAUGGGCCCGCGUUGGAUUAGCUAGUUGGUAGGGUAAAAGCCUACCAAGGCGACGAUCCAUAGCUGGUCUGAGAGGAUGAUCAGCCACACUGGGACUGAGACACGGCCCAGACUCCUACGGGAGGCAGCAGUGGGGAAUAUUGGACAAUGGGCGAAAGCCUGAUCCAGCCAUGCCGCGUGAGUGAUGAAGGCCUUAGGGUUGUAAAGCUCUUUUACCCGGGAUGAUAAUGACAGUACCGGGAGAAUAAGCUCCGGCUAACUCCGUG